rnacentral:rRNA from 1 species
UAGGGGGCAAGCGUUAUCCGGAUUUACUGGGUGUAAAGGGAGCGCAGGCGGCCGUACAAGUCUGAUGUGAAAACCCGGGGCUCAACCGCGGGAGUGCAUUGGAAACUGUAAGGCUGGAGUGCCGGAGAGGUAAGCGGAAUUCCUAGUGUAGCGGUGAAAUGCGUAGAUAUUAGGAGGAACACCAGUGGCGAAGGCGGCUUACUGGACGGUGACUGACGCUGAGGCUCGAAAGCGUGGGGAGCAAA